rnacentral:rRNA from 1 species
GUUGGUUGUCAUAGCGGAAGAAGACCCACCCGAUUCCAUCCCGAACUCGGCAGUGAAAGCUUCCAGCGCUGAUGGUAGUGUGCCCUGAGGCAUGUGAGAGUAGGACGCUGCCAACA